GUAAUCGCAGAUCAGCAUGCUGCGGUGAAUACGUUCCCGGGUCUUGUACACACCGCCCGUCACACCAUGGGAGCCGGGAAUGCCCGAAGUCAGCGGCCCAACCGAAAGGAGGGAGCUGCCGAAGGCAGGCCUGGUGACUGGGGUGAAGUCGUAACAAGGUAUC
rnacentral:rRNA from 1 species